UUCUUCAACAUGUCUCUACCUCUUGAUGUCUGGGACUAAUGGUGUGUGCCACUGCACCUGACUCCCCCCCCCAAAAAAAGUACCAUUAUACUGGGGGAGGGAGUAGUCCAGAUCUCUGAUUUUCAGGCUCUGUGGCUUUUGAUUAUCAGCCUGGGAAGGGAGUCUCAAAGAGGAAGUAACUAGAUUAGGUUGGUUGCCCUGUGGGCGUGUCUACAGGAGAUUUCCUCCAGCAGGGAGAACCCUCCACUGUGGGUAGCACCAUUCCUUAGGAGAGGAUUUCAAAUGGCACAAGUCUUUAGAAAGGGAUCUGAGCUGAGUGUGAGUUCAUUUCCUCUCUCUGCUCUUACCUGGUGUGUGUGUCCGCCACUUGAGUUCCCCACGGUGAUGGAUGUGCAAGGACCCACCUGGGUGAGAGAUCAGUGGGAGAGCGUGACAACUGGUUUAGCUAGCAGCAAGGCAUCAUGCUUAGCUAGCAGCAAGGGAUCACACUUAGCUAGCAGUAAGGGAUCCUUGUUGCCGGGACUGUCUGCAGGAGGGGCACAGGCAUAUGUAGGUGAAUGAAGUCCCCACAGCAGCCAGAAGAGGGCGCUGGAUACCCUGGAGCCUGAGUGACAGUUGCGUGUGAGCGACCAGAGGAUGCUGGGAACUAAACUCAUGUCCUCUGUAAUGACGGCUGUUAGGACUGAGGCUGCUCCCAACCUGUGGACCCGUUCAGAUCAGCACGUGUUUGCAUCCUCUCGGGUAAAGGUCUCGAGUGGGAUGCCCAAGCUUUACAGCGACUGGUGAGCUCUAUAGGAACUUGCCCAACUGGGUUUCAGAGCAGGUGUAACAUAUGGGACCCCAUCAACCAUGCGGAGCACCCCAGCCCCUCCCCAUCCAGCCGGGUGCUGCUCUUUUUCAGUUUCAGUCUCGGUGUGCCCUGACCCUCAGUGGGGUUUCCCUGUGCAUUCCUCUGACGGAUGAUGGUGUCAAACAGCGCCUGCCUCGGGGAAGCACCUGGAAGGCCUUUAGGGACCCCUCCCUUCCUCAUCCCAGCCCUCUACAACCCUCUGCUGCCUUUCCCAAGGGCCCACGUUGGAACCCUGAGGUCUUAGCUAGCUCUUCCUCUCACUCUAACUCCAGUUUCUCGCAGGUGUGUCUCCACCCUCCAUUAAUCCGUUCAUCCAUUGGGUUCAGCUGCGAGCUACCAGCAUCCUCAGUCUCCCCCACCCCGCCCCCGCAGCAACUAACUCAUCCUUUUUUGGAUACUACCCCCACCCCCACUCCUGCCUUGUUCAUUUCUCUCACUCGCACCACUGGGUCCAUGCUAGUACACGCUCUAACACCCUGUGGCUUGUGUGAGUGGCAGAGAGAA